AUUGAACGCUGGCGGCAGGCCUAACACAUGCAAGUCGAGCGGCAGCGGGACCUUCGGGUUGCCGGCGGGCGGAGGCCGGGUGAGUAAUGCCUAGGAAUCUGACUGCUCGUGGGGGAUAACAUGGGGAAACCAGGACUAAUAACGCAUGAUCUCGUGAGAGCAAAGCAGGGGACCGCAAGGACUUGCGCAUUUGGAGCAGCCUACGUCGGAUGAGCUAGUUGGUGGGGUAAUGGCCCACCAAGGCUACGCAGCGUAACUGGUCUGAGAGGAUGAUCAGUCACACCGGAACUGAGACACUGUCCGGACUCCUACGGGAGGCAGCAGUGGGGAAUAUUGGACAAUGGGCGAAAGCCUGAACCAGCAAUGCCGCGUGUGUGAAGAAGGCCUUCGGGUUGUAAAGCACUUUAGGCUGGAAAGAAAAAGCUUUGGCUAAUAUCCAAAGCCUUGACGGUACCAGCAGAAUAAGCACCGGCUAACUCUGUGCCAGCAGCCGCGGUAA
rnacentral:rRNA from 1 species